rnacentral:rRNA from 1 species
UCUCAGAGAUUAAGCCAUGCAUGUCUAAGUACAUACCUUCAAACGGUGAAACCGCGAAUGGCUCAUUAAAUCAGCUAUGGUUCCUUGGAUCGUACAUACUACAUGGAUAACUGUAGUAAUUCUAGAGCUAAUACAUGCCACUAUGCCCUGACCCGCAAGGGAACGGGUGGAUUUAUUAGAACAGAACCAACCGGGGGCGGCUUCGGUCGUCCCUGUUGCAUUCUGUGAUGACUCUGGAUAACUUCACUGAUCGCAGUCGGCCUUGUGUCGGCGACGGAUCUUUCAAAUGUCUGCCCUAUCAAUUAUCGAUGGUAGGUGACCUGCCUACCAUGGUGCUAACGGGUAACGGGGAAUCAGGGUUCGAUUCCGGAGAGGGAGCCUGAGAAACGGCUACCACUUCCAAGGAAGGCAGCAGGCACGCAAAUUACCCAAUCCCGGCACGGGGAGGUAGUGACGAAAAAUACGGAUACGGGACUCACUUGAGGCUCCGUAAUUCGAAUGAGUACAAUUUAAAUCCUUUAACGAGGAUCAACUGGAGGGCAAGUCUGGUGCCAGCAGCCG